UGAUUUCAGGUAGCGAUCUUUGUCCAUCCAUUACACUAAUCUUACACAAAAAGCUUUCUUUGGCUUUGGUUAUUACUCCUUUAUUAAGCUUUUGUUGCGUGUCUUUUUUUCUUUCUCAUUGUUCGAUUUCAUUCAAAGGAGCGUGUUAUGUGACAUUACCUGAGGAGAUGUGAACAAGCCUCUAGUCAUGCCAGACAUCGAGGCUCCCAGCAGACCAAGGGGAAGAUUCCAUCCGAGUCGCAUUAAACCAUGAAAGCAACCAAGAGUUUUUGAAUUGUGCAUCCUACUGGGUCUUGGGCACUACCCUGAAGCAGAACUCAUUCUCAGGAUCACAGCCUCCCUACCUCCUUCUUCGGGUUCCUGUUACAGAGAAACCCAGAGGCACAGUGACAGUCCCCACACAGAAGGCUUUCUCGGUGAAGCAACAGUCCCAAGAGAAGACCGUAGUGGAAGAAAAGGAACGACUACCCUAGGAUUUACCAGGGAGCCCAGCCCUCCUUGCCCGCUUGCAGAAAGGAAGGAGUUCCCAAACAUCCUGUCGAACAUCACCAGAAGCAUCGAGACCCCAGUGCUGUCAUUUCUACCUCUUCAAGAUACAGAAAUCCAAUAUUUUGGGUGAAAUGUCUUCAUUUGAAAAUGCUGGCCACUAACUAAAGUAUCUUUGGCCCUUCAAAGAAAGAUUUACACAAUAU